rnacentral:lncRNA from 1 species
CCCUGCGAAGCAGGCAAAGUCACGCUCAUCUCUCCAGAUGCAGAAUGGCGGAAAACUCCUACGGUGCCUCAAGGCCCAGCUGAGACAGAGUCAUGACCUAGGCUUCCUGGCCCCUCACCCUGGGGCUGGGGAUGUUUACUCACUGCAGCACCUGUGCCUUCCCCUCUGCCCACUCUCGGGGCGGGGGUGCCAGUUUAUGGCCACGGCAAGCUGCCAUGUCAUUCCGGUGCUGGACACCACAAAACCACCCAGUGCUCAUCCUGGGCGCGUGAAUGACUUCAUUCAUCAAGGCACCCGAAGAGCUGUCUGCUCACUGGCCACCAGUCUUCCCAUCCCUCUGACUGUCCGUCCAUCCCAGAAAAAUGCAUGAGUGGUGCUCUGUGUACCAGGUGCUGUCCCUGCACUGUCCCUACAGCACUGCUGGGCACAAGGGGAGGCACGGCCAUGCAAGGGGUGCCCUCGGACAGUGCCAGCCACUGGCCUUCUGCCCCCGCUCUGAAGGCUCCUGGGUCAAGGCCCGGGCUGAUUGUUUGGGGUCAGCGUCCUUUCUGCACCUCACAUACUCCAGACCGACAUGGCUGCCCGACACAGGUCCUGUCCCCUCUGGGAAGUGAGUGCUUGGGUCCCGUAAGCCCCGCCGUGCCUCAGCCCCUCCUUCUCCCAGCUCAGGUGAGGCUCAGAAUGAGGACCCGGUCUGCACAGCUCAUUCCAGACUCUGUUCAGGCCCUGGGCGCUGGCCCUGCAGAGAGAGAGGCCACGGCAAGACCAACAUGCAAGGAGCUGACCCGAGCCACGCAGCC